rnacentral:rRNA from 1 species
UACGUAGGAGGCAAGCGUUGUCCGGAGUACUGGGCGUAAAGCGCACGCAGGCGGUCCUAUUAGUCUGGGGUGACAGUUCCCGGCUUAACCGGAAAAGGACUCUGGAAACUGUAGGACUUGAGGGCUUCAGAGGGAUGUGGAAUUCCAGGUGGAGUGGUGAAAUGCGUAGAGAUCUGGAGGAACACCUGUGGCGAAAGCGGCUCACUGGACCAUAACUGGACGCUGACUGGCACGAAAGCUAGGGGAGCAAACAGG